rnacentral:tRNA from 1 species
GCUAGCUCAAUCGGUAGAGCGUGAGACUCUUAAUCUCAAGGUUGUGGGUUCGACCCGUAAGUUGCA